rnacentral:misc_RNA from 1 species
AUUUAUGCUCUUUGCUGGCAGGGGCAAGCUAGUGAAGCAAGAUACUGGUUUUCUGUCAUGUUGAAGAAGAAUUUGGUGCCGGACAUAAUGUCAUACAACCCUUUGAUUUACGGAUACUGUCGGUUGGGGGAUAUUGAUGAGGCCUUUUCCUUAUUACAUGAUUUAAGGAGCAGGGGACUUUUUCCUACAGUGAUCACCUACAAUACAAUUAUGGAUGGACUCUGUAAAAAAGGUAAUUUAGAGGAUGCUAAGCAGAUGAAAGAAGAAAU